rnacentral:rRNA from 1 species
AGAGUUUGAUCCUGGCUCAGAAUGAACGCUGGCGGCGUGCUUAACACAUGCAAGUCGUGCGCGAAGGCGGCUUCGGCUGCCGGAGAGUGGCGAACGGGUGAGUAACACGUGGACAACCUGCCUAGGAGCGGGGGAUAACCCGGGGAAACCUGGACUAAUACCUCAUACGCUUUCCGGCCUUCGGGUCGGUUCGGAAAGAUGGCCUCUUCUUGAGAGCUAUCGCUUCCAGAUGGAUCCGCGCCUGAUUAGCUAGUUGGUGGGGUAAUGGCCUACCAAGGCGACGAUCAGUAGCCGGCCUGAGAGGGCGAUCGGCCACACUGGAACUGAGACACGGUCCAGACUCCUACGGGAGGCAGCAGUGGGGAAUAUUGGACAAUGGGCGCAAGCCUGAUCCAGCAACGCCGCGUGGAGGACGAAGGCUUUCGGGUUGUAAACUCCUGUCAGGUGGAGCGAAAGGAAUGCGGUUAAUACCCGUAUUCUAUGACGGUACCAUCAGAGGAAGCCCCGGCUAACUCCGUGCCAGCAGCCGCGGUAAUACGGAGGGGGCAAGCGUUAUUCGGAAUUAUUGGGCGUAAAGGGCGCGUAGGCGGCCUGAUAAGUCAGUGGUGAAAUCCCUCGGCUCAACCGAGGAAUUGCCUUUGAAACUGUCAGGCUUGAGGCCGGGAGAGGGUAGUGGAAUUCCCAGUGUAGCGGUGAAAUGCGUAGAUAUUGGGGGGAACACCAGUGGCGAAGGCGGCUACCUGGACCGGUUCUGACGCUGAGGCGCGGACCGGUUCUGACGCUGAGGCGCGAAAGCGUGGGUAGCAAACAGGAUUAGAUACCCUGGUAGUCCACGCUGUAAACGAUGAGCACUCGGUGCUGCGGGUGUCGACCCCUGCAGUGCCUUAGGUAACCCGUUAAGUGCUCCGCCUGGGGAGUACGGUCGCAAGGCUGAAACUCAAAGGAAUUGACGGGGGCCCGCACAAGCGGUGGAGCAUGUGGUUUAAUUCGAUGCAACGCGCAGAACCUUACCUGGGCUUGAACUGUAAGGGCCAACCCUAGAAACAGGGUCUUCCCUUCGGGGAUCGUUACAGAGGUGCUGCAUGGCUGUCGUCAGCUCGUGUCGUGAGAUGUUGGGUUAAGUCCCGCAACGAGCGCAACCCUUACCCUUAGUUGCCAGCGGUUAAAGCCGGGAACUCUAAGGGGACUGCCCCGGAAAUCGGGGAGGAAGGUGGGGAUGACGUCAAGUCCUCAUGGCCUUUAUGUCCAGGGCUACACACGUGCUACAAUGGGCGGCACAGAGGGUCGCGAAGCCGCGAGGUUGAGCUAAUCCCAAAAAACCGUCCUCAGUUCGGAUUGCAGUCUGCAACUCGACUGCAUGAAGUUGGAAUCGCUAGUAAUCCCGGAUCAGCAUGCCGGGGUGAAUACGUUCCCGGGCCUUGUACACACCGCCCGUCACAUCACGAAAGUCGGCUGUACCGGAAGCCGGUGGGCUAACCCGCAAGGGAGGUAACUGUCCAUGGUAUGGUCGGCGAUUGGGGUGAAGUCGUAACAAGGUAGCUGUAGGAGAACCUGUGGCUGGAUCACCUCCUU